GACAGCUGAAUGAUAGUCGGGCUGAAGACUCUACUUGACUAGCUGAGAGGAGGUGCAUGGCCGUCGUCAGUUCGUACUGUGAGGCAUCCUGUUAAGUCAGGCAACGAGCGAGACCCACGCCAACAGUUGCCAGCUCGUCCUCCGGGAUGGUGGGGACACUGUUGGGACCGCCUCUGCUAAAAGAGGAGGAAGGAAUGGGCAACGGUAGGUCAGCAUGCCCCGAAUUAUCUGGGCUACACGCGGGCUACAAUGGGUGGGACAAUGGGUAUCGACACCGAAAGGUGACGGGAAUCUCCUAAAACCAAUCUUAGUUCGGACUGAGGGCUGCAACUCGCCCUCAUGAAGCUGGAGUCCGUAGUAAUCGCGUUUCAACAGAACGCGGUGAAUACGUCCCUGCUCCUU
rnacentral:rRNA from 1 species